GCAGUAGGGAAUCUUCGGCAAUGGACGAAAGUCUGACCGAGCAACGCCGCGUGAGUGAAGAAGGUUUUCGGAUCGUAAAACUCUGUUGUUAGAGAAGAACAAGGACGUUAGUAACUGAACGUCCCCUGACGGUAUCUAACCAGAAAGC
rnacentral:rRNA from 1 species